rnacentral:rRNA from 1 species
AACGAACGCUGGCGGCACGCCUAACACAUGCAAGUCGAACGCCCUCAGCAAUGGGGGUGUGGCGGACGGGUGAGUAACGCGUGGGAACCUGCCUUGUGGUGCGGGACAACUCCGGGAAACCGGGGCUAAUACCGCAUGAUGCCGUGGCAACACGGCUAAAGAUUUAUCGCCAUGAGAGGGGCCCGCGAGAGAUUAGGUAGUUGGUGGGGUAACGGCCUACCAAGCCAUCGAUGCGUAGCUGGUCUGAGAGGAUGGCCAGCCACACUGGGACUGAGACACGGCCCAGGCUCCUACGGGAGGCAGCAGUGGGGAAUCUUGGACAAUGGGGGCAACCCUGAUCCAGCGAUGCCGCGUGGGUGAUGAAGGCCUUCGGGUUGUAAAGCCCUUUCGGCGGGGACGAUAGUGACGGUACCCGCAGAAGAAGCCUCGGCUAACUCCGUGCCAGCCGCCGCAGUAAGAC